UACGUAGGGGGCAAGCGUUGUCCGGAAUCAUUGGGCGUAAAGCGCGUGUAGGCGGUCCGAUAAGUUCGCUGUGAAAGUCGGGGGCUUAACCCUCGGAUGCCUGUGAAUACUGUCGGGCUUGAGUACGGAAGAGGCGAGUGGAAUUCCUGGUGUAGCGGUGAAAUGCGCAGAUAUCAGGAGGAACACCAAUUGCGAAGGCAGCUCGCUGGGACGUUACUGACGCUGAGACGCGAAAGCGUGGGGAGCAAACAGG
rnacentral:rRNA from 1 species